GAGUCUGUAGCUCAGCUGGAUAGAGCAACGGCCUUCUAAGCCGUGGGUCGGGGGUUCGAAUCCCUUCAGGCUC
rnacentral:tRNA from 1 species